ensembl:misc_RNA Metazoa_SRP Metazoan signal recognition particle RNA
GCCGGGCAUGGUGGUGCAUGCCUGUAAUCCUAGCUACUCGGGAGGCUGAGGCGAGAGGAUUGCUUGAACCUGGGAGGCGGAGGUUGCAGUAAACUGAGAUCACACCACUGCACUCCAGCCCAGGUAACAGAGCAAGACUCUGUCUCAA